rnacentral:lncRNA from 1 species
UUUGAAGAACUGUGUGAUGUUUAAGAAACAAAUAUAGCUGGUGGUAAUGCAUUCUAUUACCAUUUUGACAAUGUGUUCAACUAAAUCUUUUCACUUGGUGAGUGUUGCAAUUUACGAUUUUAGCAGAUUUUUUUUAUAUAAAUUAUAUGUUGGCUUGUGCGACUGAAAACAUGUUGGAAGACUCGUUUUCGUUAUUAGUUCAUCAAUGUAACAAGAAACUAUCCUAAGCUGGGAUGAUCUUUGAUUGAAUACAUGUUGGAAGACUCAUUUUCGUUGUUAGUGCAUCAAUGUAACAAGAAACUACCCUAAGCUGGGAUGAUCUUUGAUUUCCCUACUAAAAUUUUAAUGAUUUAUAUAUGGUCAUAUCUUGUUGGGGUAGGUGAUCAUUUUGCAUUCUUG